rnacentral:rRNA from 1 species
AGGAUUAACGCUGGCGGCGUGCAUGAAACAUGCAAGUCGAGCGCGGUGUGAUGCGGGGUAACCCAAUUCACAUCUAGCGGCGAACGGGUGAGUAACACGUGAGCAACCUACCUUUGAGUUGGGGAUAGCCCUGGGAAACCAGGAUUAAUACCCGAUGUGGUCACAACAGGACAUCCUGAUGUGAGUAAAGGCGCAAGCCGCUCAAUGACGGGCUCGCGGCCUAUUAGCUUGUUGGUGGGGUAACGGCCUACCAAGGCGAUGAUGGGUAGCUGGUCUGAGAGGACGAUCAGCCACACUGGGACUGAGACACGGCCCAGACUCCUACGGGAGGCAGCAGUUAGGAAUUUUCCGCAAUGGGCGAAAGCCUGACGGAGCAACGCCGCGUGAGUGAUGAAGACCUUAGGGUUGUAAAGCUCUGUCGGAGGGAAGAACACAAUGACGGUACCCUCCAAGAAACGCCCGGCUAACUACGUGCCAGCAGCCGCGGU